UUAUAAGGUGUAGUAUUUUGUUUAUAGACAUUAUAAGGUCUAGCAUUUUGUUUAUAGACAUUAUAAGGUCUAGCAUUUUGUUUAUAGACAUUAUAAGGUGUAGUAUUUUGUUUAUAGACAUUAUAAGGUCUAGCAUUUUGUUUAUAGACAUUAUAAGGUCUAGUAUUUUGUUUAUAGACAUUAUAAGGUGUAGUAUUUUGUUUAUAGACAUUAUAAGGUGUAGUAUUUUGUUUAUAGACAUUAUAAGGUGUAGUAUUUUGUUUAUAGACAUUAUAAGGUCUAGCAUUUUGUUUAUAGACAUUAUAAGGUGUAGUAUUUUAUGUAGCUAAUCUUCUCAUUUCUAGCCGACAGUGCAGUUUAUAAUAUUUCACUUUACUGACUGUUUUUCAGCUGAUGUUCUGUUCUGCAGUAUUUACACACUGUUUAUCUCCCACACAAACACUACACACACUGGAUAUAUUACAUAAACAUAUAUAUAAUUAUAUAAACUUUCGGUUCUCAGUGGCGUGAAUGAAUACUACAGCACUGUGGAAAUACGGGUCGUACCUAAAACAGGUAUUUAUGCUUGUAGUCAUGGUUACAGUCCGACAAAUGUGUAUAACAGAAGCAUCAGUGACGUAGAACCAGGAUUAAACGUGUGACUGGUUGUAAAGUGUCCCACAAGUCUCCAGACAUAGGGGGAAAAUAUCGUCCAA
ensembl:lncRNA